CUCAUGGGUCUGGAAUUAGAAUUCCUCUACUUCUCGCAGCCUCAGAGCAAGGCCGUGGCAGUGAAACCUUCCCCCCAAAAGGUCCCAUUAUUAUUCUUCAGCACUGGCCUGGAGAGACCAGCUCUGGAGAUAAGAGUGGAAUUGAGUCUCCAUGGCCAAUUCACUCCAUGGCCUCC
rnacentral:sRNA from 1 species